rnacentral:lncRNA from 1 species
CAAAAUCCCAGUGAUGACCUCAAGGUGGCUGUCAACAACUCGUCAAUUGUUGAGAUGACAGCAACCUGCCCUUCAAGUGGACCACAGCUUGAAAUAGGCACCAGAACAAGACAGCAGACCUUGUGCAAUGCACUCUCCCACGGGCCUCCCAUUCCAAUUUCCCCUUUUUAAGCCUUUCUCCCCAGCCUAAAGUUUUAAGAGGUUUCUGGAGGCGUAAGGAUUCUAUUUAUGUUUAAUGAACAAAAAAAUUAGUUUCAAUGAAAACUUUAUUUGAAAUGAUGAAUUCAAGCUAUUACCAGCCUCCCAAGUAAGAUGCCAGAGACUUCAAACACUGCUGUUGUUUCUCAAGGAAAAGAUCCAGUUAACAAGGAAUCAUUCUCUCUUCUUCAAUAGCUGCUUACGAAAUAAAAACAUCAGUAGGAGGGGAAGGAGGAAGGAAGGAGAAGAAAGAGGAAGAAUAGGAGGAGAAGAGGAAGAGAGGAAGAAGUGAACAGCCCUCCUGCAUUUUGCAUCAGGUAGAAAAGUCAGUUGAAUGUUGGGAAGAACACAAAUACAGAUCACAAGACCCUGGUUCCAGAGCGGUCCUGCUUUACACCGAAGGAAAGGAAUGUCAUACAGAAAGGCCAAGAAGAAUCUGAAGAGAUGUCCAAUCACCUUUUCACGUGGCUGCCCAUUCUUCAUUGAACCUAAGCAUUAAAAUAGACAGUUUCCCCUGGGUCUUUGGGUCUUCAUUUCUGAAGACUCCAUGUCAUGUAAAACUUUGAUUAAAUAAAUGUAUCAUGCAUUA